GAUGAACGCUGGCGGCGUGCCUAACACAUGCAAGUCGAACGAAACACCUUAUUUGAUUUUCUUCGGAACUGAAGAUGUGGUGAUUGAGUGGCGGACGGGUGAGUAACGCGUGGGUAACGUGCGCUGUACAGGGGGAUAACAGUCAGAAAUGACUGCUAAUCCCGCAUAAGACCCCAGCACCGCAUGGUGCAGGGGUGAAAACUCCGGUGGUACAGGAUGGACCUGCGUCGGAUUAGCUGGUUGGAGCGGUGACGGCUUACGAAGGCGAGGAUCGGUAGCCGGCUAGUGAGAGUGGGCGGCGACAUUGGGAGGAAGACACGGCGCGGACUACUACGGGAGGCAGCAGAGGGUGAUAUUGCAAAAUGGGGUAAGCGAUGAAGCAGCGACGCCGGGAGAGUGAAGAUGUAUUGCGAUAUGAAAAGCUCUAUCAGCAGGGGAUGAAAUGACGGUACCUGAAGAAGAAGCCCCGGCUAACUACGUG
rnacentral:rRNA from 1 species